AUUCCAUGUUGAGGACAAUCUGAUAUAUAUCCUUGAAAACGCUCCCAUGCUUCUUGAAUGGUUUCUGUCUUCUGCUGUUGGAAACUGAUAAUAUUUCCUCUUAUGGC
rnacentral:snoRNA from 1 species